rnacentral:rRNA from 1 species
CAGUAGCCGCGGUAAUACGUAGGGUGCAAGCGUUAAUCGGAAUUACUGGGCGUAAAGCGUGCGCAGGCGGUUACAUAAGUCAGAUGUGAAAUCCCCGGGCUCAACCUGGACCUGCAUUUGUGACUGUAUAGCUAGAGUACGGUAGAGGGGGAUGGAAUUCCGCGUGUAGCAGUGAAAUGCGUAGAUAUGCGGAGGAACACCGAUGGCGAAGGCAAUCCCCUGGACCUGUACUGACGCUCAUGCACGAAAGCGUGGGGAGCAAACAGGAUUAGAUACCCCGGUAGUCCCUGUCUCUUAUACA